ACAAAAUGCACAUUUUAAUAUUGAUCAUGACACAGCGUAUUUUAUAUAACGUUAAUGAUAUGAAGCAUAUUUACAAAUCGUUACUGACAGAGAACCGUAUAAUUUGUGUUCUGCGUGUUAUAUGAAUGUACUUACCUGUGAUGUUGCCACAAGUCAGUCUUUCUCUGUACCUGUACCUUCCCAUACUUGUGCAGUUGGCAAUAAAUUCAACAGGACCUGAGAAAUCUCAGUGAGAUUUGAUUAGUGAUGAUCAUCUUGUCAGCUCGGUAGGUCGAAUGUAUGAGACAGUCCACUGUUAAAUGCAAAACACUGAACAGUGUCGAUGAUCAGAGGGAUCAUGGACUCCAAGUUCAUCGCUCCCUGAGAGAGACUGCACAGAUUGAUCGGGUGGUUAAGAAGGCAAAUGGCAUGGUUGUCUUUAUUAGUUGAAGCAUUGAGUUCAAAAGUCGGGAAGUUGUUUUUCGGCUGUUACGAGCCUGUUACUAUAUACUAAUAAAGGUAAUGGUUUUAACAUCAAAACCAGACUCCAGUGUGAACUCUAUUGCUGCUGGUUCGUUUCUAAAACUUUACAGUUCGUAACAAGGCUUUACAAAACAGGUUACACCACAUCUGGAGUGUUUCAUACAGUUCUGGUCGCCCCCAUUCUCGGAAGGAUGUCGGGGCUUUGGAGAGGGCGCAGAAGAGGUUUACCAGGACACUGCCUGGAUUAGAGGGCAUGAGCUAUAACGAGAGGCUGGACAAACUUGUGUUGUUUUCUCCAGAGCGGAGCAGGCUGGGGUGAGACUGGAUGGACGUUUAUAAGAUUACAAGAGGAAUAGAUAGAGUGGACAGACGAUAUAUUUUUCCUGGGGGUUGAAAUGUCUAAUACAUUUAAGGUGAGAGGAGAUGUGAGCGGCAAAUUUGCUUCUUUUCACAGACUAAUGAGCAGCUGGAAUCUCUGCCUGGGGGAGGGGGGAGUUGUCGCCAAUCCUGACACGUGAUCACGUUUGCCCCUCCCAUGUAACCGCAGAUUGGCAGCACCUGCGCGUCUGUUUCCGAGGGCCCGACUCCCGAUGAUGUAACAAUCUCUUCGCGCAUGUUCACCGUUUCCGGGUGGACGGUGUUAUCCUCUCAGCUCAGAGCUGAAGUGGGUCGGCGGUGUGUUCGCGAAAGACUUUCGUCUCUUGCGUCGGGAUCACUGUCUGCGGGCCGAAGAUAUCACUUUCCCUUCGUCAGACCUGCAGUGAGAGAUUUAGUGGAAGAAAAACCACGACUGAAGACGUAGGAACAGCAACAAGUGAACCAGCCCGAGGACUGAGAGCACCGACUGGAGAGAACCCAUCUGACUCGGAGAUUCCAGUGAUUCAGUCAGGAGAAAGUUUGGGCCAUGCGUUAAGAAUUUUGCCAGCGCUGAAGCGCCGAUGAAAUGCGCAGGCGUCAGGCUGAGGACGUCCCCGAUGCACGCAGUACACAGAAGGCCUUGAAAAUGUCGGGUGCAGGGAGCUGGCAUCAAACCGACGGGCCGAGCGGUCUCCUCCUACCUCUCGGUGACACAUCAGACUCCGGCCGCAGGUGACGCUUCACAAACGCCCCAACUUCUCUUGGAGGGAAAUGGAAAUAAAUCAAAAAACGGACAUUUACUCCACUGUGAUGUGGAGUUUGAGGCCGGAGCGGGAGGCGAACUCAGCAGGGGUAACGCCCUCUGGACUUGUCCAACUCUGCGACUGGUGGUAACAAGUGAUUGACAUCGCUUUGCACCAAUGGGAAUAGUGCAGCCCCUGAAUCCUCUGUUGAUAGCGGUGGGGGAGGGCUGGUCAUGUGAUUAUUAGCCCAGCUAUUAAAAUGAUAAAGCCCGAGCUCACCAGCGCAUGGAUGACGUAAGACGCUGUGCACGUAAGGGCAGAUCCCGGUGUGGGAAGCCCAUGCGUGACGUCAGGUUCGAGGGGGGUCUGUGCGACGUCACCUGUGGGGAUGCGCUCGCAUUUAAAUGCACCUUAAUGUGCGUUUCUUAUGAUUUCAGAGGGACAACAACAUUAAUCAUGGGUUUCAUUACAGAAUCCACUGUUGUGAGAUGUAAAGUCACUUGUUAUGUGUCUGGCUGGGCCGUGUUGUUUUGGGGGCUAUUGAUCGAUUAAUUAUCUAUUUGAUUGGGCAUAUCCCUUUUGAUUUAUUUGUGUGUGGAAAUCAGCAGCAGUGGAUAUUGAUAAAUUUCUGUAGGUUGGAUGACUGAGUGAAUCCCUUCCCACGUACUUCCUCAUCCAGGUCAUCCACUCUUGGUCGUCCUGGAAUCAUUCUUUGAAACUUCUCCGGACCCACUCCAAUACGAACACAUCUUUUGCUCAGAUAACAAGUCAUACGUGGGUAUCAAGAGUCCCAAAGAAGGGUAUUGGCCCGAAAUGUUGAUUCCCAUCCACAGAUGCUGCCUGACCUGCUGAGCUUCUCCAGCACUUUGUGUGAAUUUCUCUCGAUUUCUUGCACCUGCAAGUCCCCUUGUUUCCCAGAUAUUUAUAUGUUUAGUGAAAUAACAAGCUGGUCGUGGGGUUGUGUGACUCUGUUGGUGAAAUAUUAAAUAAAAUCAUUAGAUAAGAGGUGGCAUAGCGUUGGGCAGUGUAGAAUCUGUGGGUAGUAUUAAGGAACAGCAAAUGUACAAAACAUUCCUGAUGGGAAUUUUAUAGUGACCCCAAAACAGUAGUAAAUAUGUGGUCCACAAAUUACAAUGAGAGAUGGAAAAUGAGUGCCAAACGGGCAAUGUUACAAUAGUCAUGGGGAUUGUCAUGCAGGUGAUUAGGAAAAUCAGGAUGGUGUUGGUUGGAAGAGGAGGAAUUCCUAGAAUGCCGACAAGAUGCUUUUUAGAGCAGCUCGUGAUUGAGCCCACUUGGGGAUCAGCUAUUCUGGAUUGGGUGUAGUAAUGAACCGGAAUUAAUUAGGUCACUUGAGUCCAAAGAACACUCAGGGGCAAGUGUUCUUAAUCUGAUCAAAUUCACCCCGAUAUUAGAGAAGGAGAAACUAAAGUCGAUGUGGAAUAAAGAGAAUUAGAGAGGCAUGAGAGAAAAAUUGACAAAAUUGAUUUAAAAAGAACAUGAAACAGAGCAACAAUGGCUGGAAUUUCUAGAAGCAAUUCAGAAGUCACAGAGUGGAAGUGGUAUUCUAAAGGUAAGGUGACAAAACCGUGGCUGAUAAGAGAAACCGAAGACAACAUAUAAAACAAAGAGAGGGCACAGAACAAAAAUUACUAUAAGUUGGAGGAUUGGGAAGCUUUUAAAAGCAAACAGAAUGCAACUAAAAUCAUUAAGAAGGAAAAGAUGGAAUACUUAGGUGAGCUAGCCAGUAAUAUUAAAGAGGAUGCUAUUUUUUCUUCAGGCAUAUAUAGUGUAAAAGAGAGACAGAAGCGAAUAUCAAACCAAUGGAAAAUGAUGCUGGAGAGGUAUUAAUGGGGUGAGGGUGAAAGAUGAUGGCUGAUGAACUGAAUAAGUAUCGUACAUCACUCUUAUCUGUAGAAGACACUGGCAGGAAUAUGGAAGUCCCAGAUAUCAGUGGUCAGAAUGUGUAAAGUUACGUUACUCGGGGGUAUGUAGAAGGAAAGGUGGGCAGUAUUUUUUUUACUGGAAGGAGAAACCGAUAUUCAUGCCUUCAUGUUGGAGAUCUGCAGGUGGAAUAUGAUGUGUUUCUCUUCAACCCUGAGGCUGUCAAGUUGAACAUCUCCAGCCAUUGCAAUUCUGCCAUCAUCCCUGCUAGUGUCCCCUUCCAAUCAACUUUGGUAAGCUCUUCUCUCGUGCCUCCGUAGUUCCCCUCGCCCUACUAAUAAAGAUGCAUCUUGUUGUACCUUUCCCCUCUCAAAGUGCAGGGUGAAUUGCAACAUGUUACGAUCACAAUGUCCACAUGGUUCCUUUACCAUAAGCACCCUAAUCAAAUUUGGUUCUUUGGACAACACCCAUUCCAGAAUUAACUUUUUUCAAGAGGGCACAAUUACAAGCUAUUCUAAAAGCACCUCAUUAGUAUUUUCCAAAUUCCCUCUCUUGAGAUCAAGGACCAACCUAAUUUUCAUAAUCUAGCUCCACCCAUCCCACUGAUGGACGAUUCAUCUCACUCUCAUUGGUGGGGAGAUGCUCAGCAUCCUCACCAGGAUUACCAGCCUCCGGGACAGAUACUUUUCCCAACCAGUAAUGCUGAUAAAUAUCUCUACCCUCUAACCCACCCUUCCACAACACCAAACACCUCUACUUUAUCAUUUCCUGUCUGUCAUCUUAUAUGCAGGCAUCCUAUGCCGAGCGUCACUUUAUGAACAUACAAUCAAUCCGUGCACAGUAUAUAAGCUGUGGAUAUAUGUUGUUACUAUUGUGUUUUUGUGUUGUAUUGGAGCCGGAGUAAUAAUUAUUUCGACCUCGUUUACACAUGCCUGCUGGAAAUGGAAUUAAACAACUCUGAAUCUUGAAUAAAUAUUUCAGCAGGCUGCAGCGUUACAUUUCUGUCUCUCAGUGUUAUUGCGGCAGAGCGCCACCUGGUGACAAUGGAGUCCACAAAUCGGGGGGGGGGGGGUCCUGUUAUUGUGGCAAAUCACCACCAAGUGGUAGUGUUGUCCACAAAAGGGAGAGGUUUACAGCGAUUGUCAAGUGGACUGGAAGCCAACUGCAAGUGGAUGAAGUGCCAGACCUGCCCGAGAACACUUUCCUCACCACGAGUCAGGUUCCCAAACAGUCCUUCCAUUUGAGGCAACUUUUCAGCAUCGUGACUGUUGGGGUCAUCUACUGUUUCCAGUUUUCCAGGUGUGGCCUCCUCGACAUCAGUGAGACCCGAUGUAGUCUCUGCAUUCUGCACUCUGUCCCGAUGAGAUUCUGCAGAUUUUGGAGAUGCAGAGUCACAUAAACAAAAUGUUGGAGGAAGUCAGGAGGUCCGGUAGCUUCUAUAGAGGGGAUAGAGCAAAGCAGAGAUUUCCUGCCGAGACCCUUCAUCAGGACUGGAAGUGCGGAGAAGCCGGAAUAAGAUGGUGUGGGGAGUGGAAAGAGUCCAAGCUGGUAGGUGAUAGGUGA